GAUGAACGCUAGCGGCAGGCUUAACACAUGCAAGUCGAGGGGUAGAAGGAGCUUGCUCCUUUGAGACCGGCGCACGGGUGCGUAACGCGUAUGCAAUCUACCUUUUGCAGAGGGAUAGCCCAGAGAAAUUUGGAUUAAUACCUCAUAGUAUGUGAGGAUGGCAUCAUUUUCACAUUAAAGUCACAACGGCAAAAGAUGAGCAUGCGUCCCAUUAGCUAGUUGGUAAGGUAACGGCUUACCAAGGCUACGAUGGGUAGGGGUCCUGAGAGGGAGAUCCCCCACACUGGUACUGAGACACGGACCAGACUCCUACGGGAGGCAGCAGUGAGGAAUAUUGGACAAUGGGCGCAAGCCUGAUCCAGCCAUGCCGCGUGCAGGAUGACGGUCCUAUGGAUUGUAAACUGCUUUUUGUACAGGAAGAAACACUACUUCGUGAAGUAGCUUGACGGUACUGUAAGAAUAAGGAUCGGCUAACUCC
rnacentral:rRNA from 1 species